AUAGGUGACCGAGUGGUUAAGGUGUAAGAUUCGAAAUCUUAUCGGCUAUGCCUUCGCAGGUUCGAAUCCUGUCCUAUG
rnacentral:ncRNA from 13 species